AUUCCGAAAGGAAUGCCUAAUACCGAAUGAAGUGUGGGGGAGGCAUCUUCCCUACAUGAAAGAUGGCCUCUAUAUAUAAGCUAUCACUGAUCGAUGGGUCUGCGUCUGAUUAGCUAGUAGGUAAGGUAACGGCUUACCUAGGCGACGAUCAGUAGCCGGUCUGAGAGGAUGAACGGCCACAUUGGGACUGAGACACGGCCCAGACUCCUACGGGAGGCAGCAGUGGGGAAUCUUCCGCAAUGGGCGCAAGCCUGACGGAGCAACGCCGCGUGAGUGAAGAAGGUCUUCGGAUCGUAAAGCUCUGUUGAAGGGGACGAAAGUACAUAAGUUGAAUUAU
rnacentral:rRNA from 1 species